UACGAAGGGGCUAGCGUUGCUCGGAAUCACUGGGCGUAAAGCGCACGUAGGCGGAUUGCUAAGUCAGGGGUGAAAUCCUGGAGCUCAACUCCAGAACUGCCUUUGAUACUGGCGAUCUCGAGUCCGGGAGAGGUGAGUGGAACUGCGAAGUGUAGAGGUGAAAUUCGUAGAUAUUCGCAAGAACACCAGUGGCGAAGGCGGCUCACUGGCCCGGUACUGACGCUGAGGUGCGAAAGCGUGGGAGCAGACAGG
rnacentral:rRNA from 1 species